rnacentral:rRNA from 1 species
AGCAGCCGCGGUAAUUCCAGCUCCAAUAGCGUAUAUUAAAGUUGUUGCAGUUAAAAAGCUCGUAGUUGAAUUUCGGGAUCAAAUUGUUGGUCGUGCUUCGGUACGCACUGGCAUUAUNGGUUCCUACCUUCUGAAGAACCGCGAUGUCAUUAAUUUGGUGUCGUGGGGAAUCAGGACUGUUACUUUGAAAAAAUUAGAGUGUUUAAAGCAGGCUUACGCUUGAAUACAUUAGCAUGGAAUAAUGAAAUAGGACGUUUGAUUCUAUUUUGUUGGUUUCUAGGAUCGACGUAAUGAUUAAUAGGGAUAGUUGGGGGCAUUAGUAUUCAAUUGUCAGAGGUGAAAUUCUUGGAUUUAUUGAAGACUAACUACUGCGAAAGCAUUUGCCAAGGAUGUUUUCAUUAAUCAAGAACGAAAGUUAGGGGAUCGAAGACGAUCAGAUACCGUCGUAGUCUUAACCAUAAACUAUGCCGACUAGGGAUCGGAUGAUGUUAAUUUUUUAA